rnacentral:rRNA from 2 species
CAAUAAGCGGAGGAAAAGAAACCAACAGGGAUUGCCCUAGUAACGGCGAGUGAAGCGGCAACAGCUCAAAUUUGAAAUCUGACUACUUUGUAGUCCGAAUUGUAAUUUGUAGAGGAUGCUUUUGGUGAGGUGCUUUCUGAGUUCCCUGGAACGGGACGCCAAAGAGGGUGAGAGCCCCGUACAGUUAGAUACUAAACCUUUGUAUAGCUCCUUCGACGAGUCGAGUAGUUUGGGAAUGCUGCUCUAAAUGGGAGGUAUAUCUCUUCUAAAGCUAAAUAUAGGCUAGAGACCGAUAGCGCACAAGUAGAGUGAUCGAAAGAUGAAAAGCACUUUGAAAAGAGAGUUAAACAGCACGUGAAAUUGUUGAAAGGGAAGCGCCUAUGACCAGACUUGUCUCUAUCAGUUUUGGUAGUUUUCGGACUGCUUUACUUCUGUUAGUACAGGCCAACAUCAGUUUGUUGUCGGGGAGAAAGGCUUAGGGAAUGUGACUCCUUCGGGAGUGUUAUAGCCCUUUGCAUAAUACCCUUCGGCAGACUGAGGACCGCGCUUCGGCAAGGAUGUUGGCGUAAUGG